CAGUGUCUGCCUCGGAUCUCACAGUUUGUUCCUGUUCUUCUUCAGAAACAUUACUUCCCCAUCAACUACAGGAUUGCUGUGCCUUAUGAGGGGGUACUCAGAGUGGCCAACAUCACGAGGCUGAAGGCCCAUGUGAGUGAGCGAGAGCUGCGGUACCUGUGGGUCUUGGUGAGCCUCAACGCCACUGAGUCUGUGCUGGAUGUGCUGCUGGAGGGACACCCAUCCUGGAAGUAUCUACAGGAGGUUCAGACAUUGCUGGAGAAUGUUCAGCGGAGCCUCAUGG
rnacentral:lncRNA from 1 species